AUACAGAGGGUGCGAGCGUUAAUCGGAAUUACUGGGCGUAAAGCGCGCGUAGGCGGCUUAUUAAGUCAGAUGUGAAAUCCCCGGGCUCAACCUGGGAACUGCAUCUGAUACUGGUAAGCUAGAGUUUUGGAGAGGGAAGUAGAAUUUCAGGUGUAGCGGUGAAAUGCAUAGAGAUCUGACGGAAUACCAGUGGCGAAGGCGACUUCCUGGCCAAAAACUGACGCUGAGGUGCGAAAGCGUGGGUAGCAAACGGGAUUAGAAACCCUAGUAGUCC
rnacentral:rRNA from 1 species